AGUGAACGCUGGCGGCAGGCCUAACACAUGCAAGUCGAACGGCAGCACAGUAAGAGCUUGCUCUUACGGGUGGCGAGUGGCGGACGGGUGAGGAAUACAUCGGAAUCUACUUUUUCGUGGGGGAUAACGUAGGGAAACCUACGCUAAUACCGCAUACGACCUACGGGUGAAAGCAGUGGAUCUUCGGACCUUGCGCGAUUGAAUGAGCCGAUGUCGGAUUUGCUAGUUGGCGGGGUAAAGGCCCACCAAGGCGACGAUCCGUAGCGGGUCUGAGAGGAGGAUCAGCCACACUGGAACUGAAACACGGUCCAGACUCCUACGGGAGGGAGCAGUGGGGAAUAGUGGACAAUGGGCGCAAGCCUGAUCCAACCAUACCACGUGGGUGAAGAAGGCCUUCGGGUUGUAAAGCCCUUUUGUUGGGAAAGAAAAGCAGCAGGUUGAUACCCCGCUGUUCUGACGGUACCCAAAGAAUAAGCACCGGCUAACUUCGUG
rnacentral:rRNA from 1 species